rnacentral:rRNA from 1 species
UGGCGAUCAUAGCGUUGUGGACCCACCUGAUUCCAUGCCGAACUCAGAAGUGAAACGCAAUAGCGCCGAUGGUAGUGUGGGGCUUCCCCAUGUGAGAGUAGGACAUCGCCAGGCU